rnacentral:lncRNA from 1 species
CUGCGUGGCAUUCAAGCACCCACAGGCAAGGAGGCUGCCAAGGUCGAGGGCUGCGGAGUCCCAGGGCCCAUGAGUCCGGCCGGAGUCUGGUGUGGACACUCUGAACACACGCAGAGGCCUUGUGGCACUCACCUCAGUUACAGCCGACCACGCAGGAAUCUAGAGAGAAAGACAGGCAGGGGGUCGCUUCCUCCCCAGGAUGCUGAGGCUUCCCCAGUGUACACGGAGUGCCCCGGCUCAGUGUCAGCUGCAGCCCUUCAUCCCCAUGGGAAAUGAACGUCCGGAGAAAAGCAGGAAAAUGUGCUCAUUACCAAGGAAAUGGGAGGGGCCCCGAGUCAGAAGCUGAGAGCACUCGGGGAGGCAGGAUGGUGGCAGUGAGUGGGUGAGCCCCAAGUGCAUCUCCAGGCCGGAAAAACAAUAAACCCAUGGCUGCUGGACUUCUCACCUUACAGAAGUGCCUGUGAGAGAUUGUGGUGAGGUGCUUGGGGCAGGAAGGUCCUGGGCUGAGCCCAGAGCCUGAGCAAGCCCUCCGUGUGUGGCGUUCUUCAGCACAUGAUCCAGUUAAAAAGGGACCUGCUGACUGAAACUGUUAGAAGCCGGAAAGGUGGACUCCAAAGUGGCUGCAGCCUGGUGAAGAAGAGUGGCCAGUGACCUCCUUUCCAUCAGCCCAGGGCCUGGAUGGCAGCGAGAGCCUGAGAAGCUCCCUCGCUCACCCCACGUGUCCCCACCAGGCACUCACCUUACAUUCAUUUUUAACAUAAAGUUACCCUGGAAACGCUGGAUCCAGAAUGGU